AUCGCUUCUCGGCCUUUUGGCUAAGAUCAAGUGUAGUAUCUGUUCUUAUCAGUUUAAUAUCUGAUACGUACCACAUUGUGGUACCUUAUAUUAAAUUGCUUUUUGGGACAGGGAGAUGGAAUAGGGGCUUGCUCCGUCCACUCCGCGCAGUUUCUCCGGGAAUGGUGCACCUCCC
rnacentral:snRNA from 1 species